UUCCAGACUCCUACGGGAGGCAGCAGUGGGGAAUAUUGGGCAAUGGGGGAAACCCUGACCCAGCGACGCCGCGUGAGGGAAGAAGGUUUUCGGAUUGUAAACCUCUGUCCUUGGUGACGAUAAUGACGGUAGCCAAGGAGGAAGCCACGGCUAACUACGUGCCAGCAGCCGCGGUAAUGCGUAGGGAGCGAGCGUUGUCCGGAAUUACUGGGUGUAAAGGGAGCGUAGGCGGGGAUGCAAGUUGGGUGUCAAAACUACCGGCUCAACUGGUAGUCGCACUCAAAACUGCAGCUCUUGAGUGAAGUAGAGGCAGGCGGAAUUCCUAGUGUAGCGGUGAAAUGCGUAGAUAUUAGGAGGAACACCAGUGGCGAAGGCGGCCUGCUGGGCUUUUACUGACGCUGAGGCUCGAAAGUGUGGGGAGCAAACAGGAUUAGAUACCCCGGUA
rnacentral:rRNA from 1 species